AGGGCAAGCGAUGAGAGGCGCGGAUCUCUCUUUGUUUCAAUCCUUUUCUCCCUCCUCCGAUGACGUAUAGUUCUAUAUGUAUAUUGUAUCGUCUAUAUGUUUUUUUUUUUUUCCAUUUCCUCGUGGUUCCUCGGUAUCCUUCAUUCAACUGCGUCACCUGCAGACGAUUGUAUUGCUGCUGAUGCUGCCUCUUUUUCUUGCAUCUCUGGUAAGCCUUGCUUGCACAAGUGCGAGAGUGGUGCCGGCGGCACCAUCGCCCAUUGAAUACGCGAGCACCACAACAGCACCGCAUGCUGCGCUCAGCUCUGAGACCUUUCAAAUGAUUCUGCUAGCUGCUAGUGUGACGGCCCUAAUCUAGUGGCAGCCUCACGUCCUCACGGCACUCCCACCGACCACCGAGGAACUAGUGAAGAGCAUGGCCGUCGUUGCCGAUUCGAGGGCGGAGCGCUUGCCAUGCGCCGAUGUGGCGAAGCACAACACGAAGGCGAACCACUGACUUGCGAUGCACAACCUCGUGCUGGAUGUACCGAGGCACAUGCCGCUCCGCCCCAGCGGCAAGCGCAUCAUCUUUGACUACGCCGGCGAGGACUCGGUGAGGGGGUUCUACGUGGCUCACGGCUUGAAUGAAAUGGAGGCUUGCGCCCCAAGUCGAUUAUUCGCGUACUGUCGCACUAGAGGAGGCGGCGGCGGCGGCGGCGGCGGCGACCUCAUAGGAAUUCUCACGCACACAUAAACUACAAAUCCAUCAUGCUGAUACCUUGCCCACUUGGUGCUUGCUAUGAGUCUCUCUCCGGUGAAGCGCCGCCACCCGCGCACGCAAAGCCAUCAAGCAGCAGACGUAGCAACAUGCAUACAGACAGCUACGGACCCUCCUCCCCUCCCCCUUCGCCUUGUCUUAAAUAGCAGCUCGUGUCUCUCAUGGCUUUUUAUUUGUGUCGUUAGUUCGGCUUCUGUGCGUGUGUCUCUGUGCUUGCGCGAUUAACUACCGUCAUCGCGCCAACGUUUCUGCGCGCGCUUGCAUAUAUGCAUGUGUGCGGGAUGAGCUCUUCAACUGUGGUGUGCAUCCCAACGAACGGUGUGGGCAAUGUGUGUGGGAGGGGGGGGGGCACGAAAAUACUCACAGAAGCGAACAAUACAGAAAAGAGUGGGAGAGUGCCACGCAGUUUGCUCCCUCCUCUCUCCGCUCUCCUUUUUCCUGCUUCUCUUCUCUCAUUACCAACUCUCUUGUUCAUUUUACUCUGCGGAAAAGAGUAAGCAAGAGCCCUUUCCCCUCCCUCCCUCCCUCCCUCAC
rnacentral:misc_RNA from 1 species